AUUGAACGCUGGCGGCAUGCCUUACACAUGCAAGUCGAACGGCAACCCUGAGUAGAGUGGCGCACGGGUGAGCAAUACAUCGGAACAUACCCAGUAGUGGGGGACAACCAGUCGAAAGACUGGCUAAUACCGCAUACGACCUACGGGUGAAAGCGGGGGACCGUAAGGCCUCGCGCUAUUGGAUUGGCCGAUGUCUGAUUAGCUAGUUGGUGAGGUAACGGCUCACCAAGGCGACGAUCAGUAGCUGGUCUGAGAGGAUGAUCAGCCACACUGGGACUGAGACACGGCCCAGACGCCUACGGGAGGCAGCAGUGGGGAAUUUUGGACAAUGGGGGCAACCCUGAUCCAGCAAUGCCGCGUGAGUGAAGAAGGCCUUCGGGUUGUAAAGCUCUUUCGGCCGGGACGAAAUCGCUCUGGUGAAUAUCCAGGGUGGAUGACGGUACCGGAAUAAGAAGCACCGGCUAACUACGUGCCAGCCGCCGCAGUAA
rnacentral:rRNA from 1 species